CUAUUGACUGCUCUCACAUUUAUUAAGUGAAGUUUAAGCUUCAUGGUUGUUUGUAAUUUUUAUUUUUCAACCAGUCUGGUAAUAUAAUGAAAUGAAACAAUGGCUGCUUUGUGGAAUAGUCCGUCAGUGGAAUAACUAAAAGUUAUUGGAGCCCAACAGCAAAAAUACUUUAGGGACCCCUUAAGCUUUGGGAACAAGACAUUUUUCCUAAACAUGUAUCAAAACUGCUUCUCUGGGGCCUUUAUACUUGCUGAGCCACUUAUCUGUUCCAGAGUCUUUUGCUUUUAUAGUUAAGAACAUUUUUAAAAAAGGAAGCAUUCCCCGGCCCCUAGAGAUUCCCCCUAAAAUCCUAAUCACUUAAUUUAUAACCCUGUAGUGAGUGAGAGUUUUAUGAGGAUAAUAUAAUGUCAACAUAUGAAAAAAAAAGAGACAAACCCCUAUAUAUUGAGCUACACCUGGGCAAUGGUUUAUAAAUACAUAAUACCCUUUAUUUAUUCCUUCUGGAAAAAUGUAUAGCUUAAAAACAUGCACACAUAAGCUAAAAAUUGGCGCAAAGGAUAACAGUUUGGUUAAUGGACUCUGCGGUGUAGUGGGAUCUCAUGUCCCAUAUUACAUAGGAUCAAAAUAACCAGCUAUAAAUUCAUAUUAAUAAUUAUAAUUAUGAAUGAAUGAAAUAGUACCUGGGUACAAAAUACAAGACACAAUAAAGGCGUAUAAUUAAAAACACUAGAGAAUGAGACAAAAUCCCAAAGGUUAACUGCCCAGUGCUCGGUACAAAGAGCAGUGUCAGUAGGUGCAGCUCAGCCCUGUCCUUCUGCCACUCCCUACCUUACUCAUGCAAAUAACAAGCUAUGGGCAGGUAGGGGCCAAACAAUAGGCUGCCUACUUGCCUCCACCUGUCCGUAUCUCUUAGAUCCUCUACUGGCUAAUGCAGUCAGCACUGAAUCUACUGAUUGCUAUCUGAAACAUAACAGAACACAUAUUUUGACAUUAGCUGUCAUUUUCUAUAGUCAGAUAUAGAUGCUCCCUAGUUAAAAAGUUCAAUGUAUUUUCAGUAUAAUCAGCUCUCUAUCUGCCUCUGAGAUCAUGGAUGAUUUGGAUAAAGCUAUAGAAGCGGAGAAUACAAGAAACAUUAUCACUAUCAGUAUCAUUUUGAUUGUGGGCUUCCUGAUUGUCUCUGGGGCAGUCAUUUACCUUAUUAUCCUCUUCAAAAAGCUAGGGCAAAACAGUGAAACAAAAAGAACGUCUGAUACCUUCUAUAUGGUCUUUGGCAACUAUGGGAGUCGAGGAGGCAGCUAAUCAUUAUCCAUCAAACCUAAAGCCCUUGUAUAAUAAACUACAAUCCAUUGCUGUGCUAUGGUAGUUUAUAAUGUCCAUGAUAAAUGUUUCCUGGGUGCACAUCAGGGAUAGAUAUUCUUUUCCUUCGUUUUGGGUUUCCUAUGGGCUUUCUACGGUGAUACAUUGUUGCUAUUCAACUACAACACUGGAUUUAGAACAGAGGAAAUAAGAAAGUGUGAUCACAUCGGUCUUGUAUAAUUAAAUUGUUUUUAAUGUAUAUCAUGCACUUUAUGAGAUUAAUUCACUGACGUUGAAUUUACACUGUAUAUGAUGCACUGCACUUUAGUUAUAUAAUUUUAUUCUUUUUUUAAAAAAAGAAACAACUAGGUUGGCUGGAUAUUAUUAUUGUCAAUUAAGUAUGUAUUCAAUUACCAAUUAACUUGGGGUUGUGGCUAUUGCAUUUGUAUAAAUUUCACUUGCCUUCACUGAUUUGUAUGCUUGAUAAAGGGGUCACAUUGCCCCGAAACGUUGCACCUCCGCAAUAAACUUU